rnacentral:rRNA from 1 species
GACGUUAGGGCGGCGAGCGGCGGACGGGUGAGUAAUGCCUGGGAAUAUGCCCUGAUGUGGGGGAUAACUAUUGGAAACGAUAGCUAAUACCGCAUAAUCUCUUCGGAGCAAAGAGGGGGACCUUCGGGCCUCUCGCGUCAGGAUUAGCCCAGGUGGGAUUAGCUUGUUGGUGAGGUAAUGGCUCACCAAGGCAACGAUCCCUAGCUGGUCUGAGAGGAUGAUCAGCCACACUGGAACUGAGACACGGUCCAGACUCCUACGGGAGGCAGCAGUGGGGAAUAUUGCACAAUGGGGGAAACCCUGAUGCAGCCAUGCCGCGUGUGUGAAGAAGGCCUUCGGGUUGUAAAGCACUUUCAGUAGGGAGGAAGGUAGUGUAGUUAACACCUGCACUAUUUGACGUUACCUACAGAAGAAGCACCGGCUAACUCCGUGCCAGCAGCCGUGGUAAUACGGAGGGUGCGAGCGUUAACCGGAAUUACUGGGCGUAAAGCGCAUGCAGGCGGCCUGCUAAGUCAGAUGUGAAAGCCCGGGGCUUAACCUCGGAAUUGCAUUUGAAACUGGCAGGCUAGAGUCUUGUAGAGGGGGGUAGAAUUUCAGGUGUAGCGGUGAAAUGCGUAGAGAUCUGAAGGAAUACCAGUGGCGAAGGCGGCCCCCUGGACAAAGACUGACGCUCAGAUGCGAAAGCGUGGUGAGCAAACAG